rnacentral:rRNA from 1 species
GGAUCUGUCGGUUGAUCGGGCUUCACUGUCCGCACUGGCCUGAUGGAUUCCUACCUUCUGAAUAACCUGCAUGCUAUUAAGUUAGUGCGUUGGGGAAGCAGAACUAUUACCUUGAAAAAAUUAGAGUGCUUAAAGCAGGCUUGUGCUUGAAUAGAUUAGCAUGGAAUAAUAAAAUAGGACGGCAUGGUUCUAUUUUGUUGGUUUCUAGGAUCACCGUA